CAGACGGGGCACAAGGGAGGAGGGCUGGGAGACGCCAUUAGUGCCGGAGAGGGAAGAGGGAGAGGAGGACAAGGAAGAGGAGGAAGAGAAACAGUAAUAGAGUCGGUACGAAAUGAAAGAAGUGGACAAGCCAGAACGAAGAAAGGAAGAAGAGGAGGAAGAAGAUAAUAAACAGUAAUAAUACCAGGAAGAACUGCAAGAGGUAGGCAACGUAAAACGAAGGAAGGAAGAGGAAGAAGAAGAAGAGGAAGAAGCUGACAAACAAGAAUUAUCCCACGAAGGAACGGUAACAGAAGCCAAACUGGGACGCAAGAAGGAAGAAGAAGAGGAGAAGGAGGAGGAGGACGGAGAAAUCGGGCCACGAAGGGAAGGUAACCAGCGCAGUGGUGGUGACGUGCCUCCAUCACUUGCCUAUCAAUGGCCUGGUAUCUACGAAGGGAGAGGAGAGGAAGAAAUGAACGAGGAAGAGAAGCAGGUGGAUAAAUAGAGAGGAACAAGAGGAGACAAGAGGACAAACAGACGAGAAAGACAAAUAAAGAAAAGACAAGGGGACUCGAAGGAAUACAAAGGAAGAGCAACAUUAGCAAACUUGGAGCCCACCACCACCAGGAGAGCACCGUACCUCCAGACAGCAGAAGCAAGACACAAGAAUCAAUCAAGAACUUGUGUGAGAGAGUCUUUGGCUGGCUAGACGCCGUUUUCCAUCCUUCCUCUCUUCCUCCUUCAUUAUAAUUUCAUCCUUCGUUUCUCUUUUCUUCCUCUUUCUCCUCUGCUUUUCUUUUCUUCCUCUUUCUCCUCUGCUUUUCUUUUCUUCCUCUUGUCUCUCUUUCUCUUCUGCCUCUUCUCCUCGGUGUCCAUUCAUCUCUCUUCCUUACAGCUUCCUCUUGUCUCAUUUUCUUCCCUGCAGCCUCUUGAGUCUCGCCACAGCUCCUCCCGUGUCAAGGCAGCUCACUCACUCGCUCGCCGCCGGCCGCCCUUCAUCCCAUCAUCAUGCGUGCCUGGAAAUCAAGUUGCAUUAUGAGUAAAGUUUGUCCUUGAGCAAGUGCUGGAAGGUCCUGAAGGCUGGAGGCUUUCUGCAUGUUUUGAUGUGGAAUGGGGAAAGUUUUGGAGUGUAGCACAGGAACGAGAGAGAGUGACUGGCUGGCUGAUUGCAUGUAGGUUGACUGAGCUCUAAUCAAUAAAGUGGUGUUAUUUAUAUAUAUACCCUGCCUGCCUGGAUUAUCUUAGUGGAUGUAUUAUCUAAUGAGCUCGGCGUGAUAGAUUCCUAGGCAGUGGUUCUUAUGUCUUGUAAAUAAAUAUCUCUUACAGUUUCUCUCCCCAUAAUACACUGUUUUUUCUAUUGACGUGUGACUGAUUACUGUGAUUGUACGUCACUUCUUGCAGGCUAUAAAGGUAAGAGACCAUUUAGAAGUGCAGGCUAUAAAGGUAAGACCAUUUAGAAGGAAGUAUUAGCUUCAGCGAACUUGUGUGUCCAGUGAAGUGAAGCAGUGUUUGAAUUUACAUUAAUUUACAUUAAUUAUAGUUUGUUGCUUUGAUAUGUAGCAUUACAGCAAGUUUCAUUAAUCUAAAUGCAAAUACUCUCCGCUUCACUAGUCAAAAAUACGUACAAAUAAAAACUGAUUUUGAGAAAUUACUUCACUAAUCCAAAUAUAGAUUCUCAA